GGAGCCUGAGAAACGGCUACCACAUCCAAGGAUGGCAGCAGGCGCGCAAAUUACCCAAUCCCGACACGGGGAGGUAGUGACAAUAAAUAACAAUACGGGGUUCUUUAGGAUCUCGUAAUUGGAAUGAGUACAAUUUAAAUCUCUUAACGAGGAACAAUUGGAGGGCAAGUCUGGUGCCAGCAGCCGCGGUAAUUCCAGCUCCAAUAGCGUAUAUUAAAGUUGUUGCAGUUAAAAAGCUCGUAGUUGAAUUUCGGGGUUAGUAGGUUGGUCAUGCCUCUGGUAUGUACUGGUCUCACUGAUUCCUCCUUCCUUAUGAACCGUAAUGCCAUUAAUUUGGUGUUGCGGGGAAUUUGGACUGUUACUUUGAAAAAAUUAGAGUGUUUAAAGCAAGCUAACGCUUGAAUACAUUAGCAUGGAAUAAUGAAAUAGGACGUUCGAUCUUAUUUUGUUGGUUUCUAGGAUUGACGUAAUGAUUAAUAGGGAUAGUUGGGGGCAUUAGUAUUCAAUUGUCAGAGGUGAAAUUCUUGGAUUUAUUGAAGACUAACUACUGCGAAAGCAUUUGCCAAGGAUGUUUUCAUUAAUCAAGAACGAAAGUUAGGGGAUCGAAGACGAUCAGAUACCGUCGUAGUCUUAACCAUAAACUAUGCCGACUAGGGAUCGGAUGAUGUUAAUUUUUUAAUGACUCAUUCGGCGCCUUACGGGAAAC
rnacentral:rRNA from 1 species